rnacentral:piRNA from 1 species
UAAAGAGCAUUUCCAGGAUAUGGAUCUU